rnacentral:lncRNA from 1 species
CGAGGCGAGACUGAAAGCAAAGAAAUCAUGCAGAAAUGCUCACGGAAAAUCCGAGCAAGAAUAUUUUUAGCUGCCUGACCUUUUGGUGAGAGUAUUAUCUCCUUGAAAAGGAAAAAUUAUCAAAAGAAUGCUCUCUCUUCACAGAGGCAGGAGGUGGGGACAAGCCAGAGGUCGAACCACUCCAGCCUGUGCUUCACUUUGUGGGGUCAGGGUGACAGUGCCUUGUCUUUCUGCCUGAGUGAGACUCGGGCUUUGUUCUUGUGUAACCAUGUCCCCACUCGGCAGAGUGUGUGUGCAUGCAAAUUCUGGAUUCCCAUGAUAUCUUCCUCCCCUUUCUUUCUCCCUUCUCCCUUCUCUCCCUGUCUCUCUCCCCAGGCCUCCGUUCCUGUUCCCUUUUGUGCCUCUUUGUCUUCCUCUCUAGCCUGGCUCUGUUGGACUUGGGUGGUUUGCUUUGCCAUGAUACUUUCUGAAUUGUCUGCAUACUGUGUUCUGCUAAGUUCAUUGAUAGUAAGUUUGUUUUCAAAAUUCUCUGCUGUCUCCCACAUCAAGUCAAUUCCCAAUAACAUUAUGGGGUGGACGAGGCUUGGCUCUGCUUUGCAGUCUCUCUACAUUCAUUGUUUGUUUGCUUGCUUUUGUAGACUUCUCAGUUCUAGCUCUUCUCCCCUGCAUCCUAAAAUCCCAAGAACUAAAAGGUUCCAUGACCCGCGGGUUCAUCAUAUUGUCAAAACGUAGUUCUUGUGGCUUUGCUCUCUUCAUUUUCCGAAAUGACCAUUUUCCAGGGACCUUUCCUGGCUCUCGUUUCUUGGCGUGGCGGCUACUGGCUCUUUU